rnacentral:rRNA from 1 species
UACGGAGGAUGCAAGCGUUAUCUGGAUUCAUUGGGUUUAAAGGGUGCGUAGGCGGGCUAUUAAGUCAGUGGUGAAAUCCUGCAGCUUAACUGCAGAACUGCCGUUGAUACUGAUAGUCUUGAGUUUGGUUAAGGUAGGCGGAAUGUGUAAUGUAGCGGUGAAAUGCUUAGAUAUUACACAGAACACCAAUUGCGUAGGCAGCUUACUGAGCCGACACUGACGCUGAGGCACGAAAGCGUGUGGAUCAAA